AGUUUUAUAGUCAAUAUUUAUGAUUUUAAAUUGCAAAUUUAAAGUAGUUGUUAAACUAAAACUU
rnacentral:tRNA from 1 species